GACGAACGCUGGCGGCGUGCUUAACACAUGCAAGUCGAACGGAAAGGCCCUGCUUUUGUGGGGUGCUCGAGUGGCGAACGGGUGAGUAACACGCGAGUAACCUGCCCUUGACUUUGGGAUAACUCCAGGAAACUGGGGCGAAUAUCGGACAGGAGCUCCUGCUGCAUGGUGGGGGUUGGAAAGUUUCGGCGUUUUGGGAUGGACGCGCGGCUCAUCAGCUUGUUGGUGGGGUAGUGGCUUACCAAGGCACUGAGGGGUAGCCGGCCUGGGAGGGUGACCGGCCACAAUGGGAUUAGGAUACCACCCAGACUCCUACGGGAGCCAGCGGUGGAAGUUAUUCCGCGAUAGGCGGAAGCAGGGUGCAGCGACUCCGCGUGCGGGAUGACGGCCUUCGGGUAAUAACCCGCUUUCGCCUGUAACGAAGCGUAAGUGACGGUAAUGGGUAAAAAAGCACCGGCUAACUACGUG
rnacentral:rRNA from 1 species